ACUCAAAGGAAUUGACGGGGGCCCGCACAAGCGGUGGAGCAUGUGGUUCAAUUCGACGCAACGCGAAGAACCUUACCUGGGCUCGAACGGCUAUGGACCGUCCGUGGAAACAUGGAUUUCCCUUCGGGGACUGUAGUCGAGGUGCUGCAUGGCUGUCGUCAGCUCGUGUCGUGAGAUGUUGGGUUAAGUCCCGCAACGAGCGCAACCCUUGCCCUGUGUUGCCACUCUCUUCGGAGAAGCACUCUCAGGGGACCGCCAGCGACAAGCUGGAGGAAGGUGGGGAUGACGUCAAGUCAUCAUGGCCUUUAUGUCCAGGGCUACACACGUGCUACAAUGACCGGUACAAAGCGCUGCCAACCCGCGAGGGGGAGCCAAUCGCAAAAAACCGGCCUCAGUUCGGAUUGCAGGCUGCAAUUCGCCUGCAUGAAGCUGGAAUCGCUAGUAAUGGCGCAUCAGAAUGGCGCCGUGAAUACGUUCCCGGGCCUUGUACACACCGCCCGU
rnacentral:rRNA from 1 species